ACGUGACAACCCAGUUUGUAUGACGUAGACCACAGCUUCGAAUGGUGAAUUUCAUACAGAAACCACGCUGUAGAUUUGUUAAAAUAUCAGCCAGUUGAGAAAAUUGCAAGUAUGUCAAGUACAGACGAAACAGAAUUAAAAGCUGGGCAUCCGCCUGCAGUUAAAGUGGGAGGAAUGAGGGUUGCUAAGACAACCAAAACUCACCAUGAGGGUGCAGCACAAGAUGACGACUCGGAAAAAAAAUCUAUUCAACCAAAUUCGACUAGCUUUUUAAAUACGCAACCCAAUACAGAUUUAGAUGGUGUUGUUACCAAGGGAUAUAAUACUCCUCAACAUGGUGAACACAUUAAACAUGUUCACGAACCAAAGCAACCAACGCAUGAAAGACGAGCCCCCAAUCCUCAAAUCAAUAUGCAUAUUAACCAACCCAGAUAGAAAGGGUGUGAUUUGCUUAAAUCAUUUAUAUUAUUGGGAAUCACAAAUUAUGCACAAUAUUUGUUUCAUCUGAUUAUUAUAAAACACAUUUGUAAUUUGGGUUAUGUGUCAAUUUUAUGUCAACAAAAUCAUGAUUCGAUUUCUUUUAAUCUAAUAUUUUAUUUAUAUCAAUAAAAAUAUUAACAGAUUAUCAAUACAUAUCUUUGUAAUAAAGUAUUCAAUUUACCAAUUAACACAAAUAAAUAGUGCCGGUUGAAAAACAUGAGGAAACUUAUCAACAUGUGUUUCUUUCUUUCAAUCUGUCGUAUAUAUGAAUUGAGCUCAGUAAAUGGCAAAUCGUAAACACAAUGUCCAGAUUGAUGAAAUUGUAAAUGAAUAUUUUUGUUAAUGUUAAUGUUUGAAUUAAAAAUAGUAUCCAGAUGUAGACAUUCUGAAAGGAAGCUACAGAAAUCUUUGUUUUAGGGUUAUUCUGGCUUAAGAGUACAUAUUGUUUAAUUAUUAGAAACAGAUGUGUUAAUUAUAUUUGACAGUUAUUAUAUAUAUGGUUUAUUUGACCAAGGUAGUGGAAGUAUAUUUUGUUGGUAAAAGGGAUGUUCUAUAAAUAUAUCUACUUAUGAUUCAAAGUGCUGAUUCUGUAAAAACUUAAAUUAUGAUUCAAAGUGCUAAUUAGUGAAAAAAAUAAAUAUAUUAUCUAUUUAAA